AUCUAGGCUCUUGCAUCGAUGAAGAACGUAGCGAAAUGCGAUACUUGGUGUGAAUUGCAGAAUCCCGUGAACCAUCGAGUCUUUGAACGCAAGUUGCGCCCGAUGCCAUUAGGUUGAGGGCACGUCUGCCUGGGCGUCACAUAUCGAAGCCUCCU
rnacentral:rRNA from 1 species